rnacentral:rRNA from 1 species
UGGUCAAGUUAUUAAGGGUGCAGGGCGGAUGCCUUGGCACUAGGAGCCGAUGAAGGACGUGAUAAGCUGCGAUAAGCUUCGGGGAGUUGCACGUAAACUUUGAUCCGAAGAUUUCCGAAUGAGGAAACUCACUUAGAGUAAUGUCUAAGUAUCAUUAAGUGAAUACAUAGCUUAAUGAGGGGAACUCAGGGAACUGAAACAUCUAAGUACCUGAAGGAAGAGAAAGAAAUUCGAUUCCGUAAGUAGCGGCGAGCGAACGCGGAUUAGCCCAAACCAAUAAAGUUUUCUUUAUUGGGGUUGCGGACAUAUCAUAACGAAGAGGUAUCGUAAUUGAAGAGGUUUGGAAAGACCCACCACAGAAGGUAAUAGUCCUGUAUGUUAAACGAGAAGACUUUAGAUAUGAUCCAGAGUACCACGGGACACGUGAAACCCUGUGGGAAGCAGGAGGGACCACCCUCCAAGGCUAAAUACUACCUAGUGACCGAUAGCGUAUAGUACCGUGAGGGAAAGGUGAAAAGAACCCCGGGAGGGGAGUGAAAUAGAACCUGAAACCCUGCACUUACAAGCUGUGGAAGCACAUUUCUUGUGUGACCGCGUACUUUUUGUAGAACGGGCCAACGAGUUACGUUAAGUAGCAAGGUUAAGCACUUAAGGUGCGGAGCCGUAGCGAAAGCGAGUUUUAACUGAGCGUUCAGUUACUUGACGUAGACCCGAAACCGGGCGACCUACCCAUGAGCAGGAUGAAGCGAAAGUAAAAUUUCGUGGAGGUCCGAACCCACGAGCGUUGAAAAGCUCGGGGAUGACUUGUGGGUAGCGGUGAAAUUCCAAUCGAGCCCGGAGAUAGCUGGUUCUCCCCGAAAUAGCUUUAGGGCUAGCCUCAAGGUGAGAGAUACGGAGGUAGAGCACUGAAUGUCCUAGGGGGUAUUGCACCUACCGAAGACUAUCAAACUCCGAAUGCCGUCAUCUUAUACUUGGGAGUCAGACUGUGGGUGAUAAGAUUCAUAGUCGAAAGGGCAACAGCCCAGAUCGUCAGCUAAGGUCCCUAAAUGUAAGUUAAGUGGUAAAGGAUGUGGGAUUGCACAGACAACCAGGAUGUUGGCUUAGAAGCAGCCACUCAUUCAAAGAGUGCGUAAUAGCUCACUGGUCGAGUGAUCCUGCGCCGAAGAUUUCCGGGGCUAAAACUUACUACCGAAGCUACGGCAUCAGUAAUGAUGGGUAGGGGAGCUUCCCAUACGGGUUGAAGCAUGACCGUAAGGACAUGUGGACAGUAUGGGAGUGAGAAUGUUGGCAUGAGUAGCGAGAUGUGGGUGAGAAUCCCACAGGCCGUAAACCCAAGGUUUCCAGGGGAAGGUUCGUCCGCCCUGGGUUAGUCGGGACCUAAGCUGAGGCCGAAAGGCGUAGGUGAUGGACAACAGGUUGAUAUUCCUGUACUACCGAUAACCGUUUGAGAGAAGGGAUGACACAGUAGGAUAAGCUAAGCACACUGUUGGUUAUGUGUGCCCAAGCAUUGAGGCAGUCAAAGUAGGCAAAUCCGCUUUGAUAAUGCUGGGAUGUGAUGGGGAGCGAAAUUUAGUAGCGAAGUAGCUGAUUUCACACUGUCAAGAAAAGUCUCUAUCGAGGUUAAAGGUACCCGUACCGCAAACCGACACAGGUGGGUGAGGAGAGUAUCCUAAGGCCAGCGAGAGAACUGUUGUUAAGGAACUCGGCAAAAUGACCCCGUAACUUAGGGAUAAGGGGUGCCACCAUCAGGUGGCCGCAGAGAAUAGGCCCAAGCGACUGUUUACCAAAAACAUAGGUUUCUGCUAAGUCGCAAGACGAUGUAUAGGAGCUGACGCCUGCCCGGUGCUGGAAGGUUAAGGGGAUCUGUUAGAGCAAUCGAAGCAGUGAACUUAAGCCCCAGUAAACGGCGGCCGUAACUAUAACGGUCCUAAGGUAGCGAAAUUCCUUGUCGGGUAAGUUCCGACCCGCACGAAAGGCGUAACGAUUUGGGCACUGUCUCAACAACAGACUCGGUGAAAUUGUAAUUCCGGUGAAGAUGCCGGAUACCUGCGACAGGACGGAAAGACCCCAUGGAGCUUUACUGUAGCUUGACAUUGGGUCUUGGUACUACAUGUACAGGAUAGGUGGGAGGCUUUGAAACCAGGACGCCAGUUUUGGCGGAGCCAUCCUUGGGAUACCACCCUUGUAGUACUGGGACUCUAACCAUAGGCCAUGAAUCUGGUCUUGGGACACUGUCAGGUGGGCAGUUUGACUGGGGCGGUCGCCUCCCAAAAGGUAACGGAGGCGCUCAAAGGUUCUCUCAGUACGGUCGGAAAUCGUACGUAGAGUGUAAAGGCAAAAGAGAGCUUGAUUGCAAGACAUACAGGUCGAGCAAGGAUGAAAAUCGGACUUAGUGAUCCGGUGGUUCUGCGUGGAAGGGCCAUCGCUCAACGGAUAAAAGCUACCCUGGGGAUAACAGGCUUAUCUCCCCCAAGAGUCCACAUCGACGGGGAGGUUUGGCACCUCGAUGUCGGCUCAUCACAUCCUGGGGCUGUAGUAGGUCCCAAGGGUUGGGCUGUUCGCCCAUUAAAGUGGUACGCGAGCUGGGUUCAGAACGUCGUGAGACAGUUCGGUCCCUAUCCGUCGCAGGCGUAGGAAAUUUGAGAAGACCUGUCCUUAGUACGAGAGGACCGGGAUGGACGUACCUCUGGUGUACCAGUUGUCCUGCCAAGGGCAUGGCUGGGUAGCUAUGUACGGAAUGGAUAAGCGCUGAAAGCAUCUAAGCGCGAAGCCAACUUCAAGAUAAGAUUUCCCACCGCAAGGGUAAGACCCCAGAAAGACUAUCUGGUUGAUAGGUCGAAGGUGUAAGU